AUUGAACGCUGGCGGCAUGCCUUACACAUGCAAGUCGAACGGCAGCACGGGAGCAAUCCUGGUGGCGAGUGGCGAACGGGUGAGUAAUACAUCGGAACGUGCCCAGUAGUGGGGGAUAACCCGGCGAAAGCCGGACUAAUACCGCAUACGACCUACGGGUGAAAGCGGGGGAUCGCAAGACCUCGCGCUAUCGGAGCGGCCGAUGUCAGAUUAGCUAGUUGGUGGGGUAAAGGCCUACCAAGGCGACGAUCUGUAGCUGGUCUGAGAGGACGACCAGCCACACUGGGACUGAGACACGGCCCAGACUCCUACGGAAGGCAGCAGUGGGGAAUUUUGGACAAUGGGCGCAAGCCUGAUCCAGCCAUGCCGCGUGCGGGAAGAAGGCCUUCGGGUUGUAAACCGCUUUUGUCAGGGAAGAAACGCUCCGGGCUAAUACCACGGAGUAAUGACGGUACCUGAAGAAUAAGCACCGGCUAACUACGUG
rnacentral:rRNA from 1 species